AACAAAACUGAUACGAGUUAUCUUCUAAAUUAAAAAAUUGCAAAAUAUUAAAUUGAGUGCAAACCGUCAUAGAUCCAUUCUAUGGAAAAUUAAUUUUCGUUUCCUUAGGAGUUUAAAUGCUGAAUCAUCUUAUUAUUCAAGUUCGGAGAUAUUAAAUCAGCAGAAUUGAGUAAUGACUUAACUAAACUGAGUCUUCGAACUGAUAAUUUUCGCAGUUCAGUUUCAAGAUGCAGAUUAAUUAAAUGUACAAACAUACAUAUCGGGAUAUGGGGGUUUUAAAGCCGAUUUAAUGGAUUCCUUGGUGAUACGUCCUUCCGAAUCCAAGAAGUUAAAUUGUAAAAUCUCCGUUGGAUCUUCGCCUUUGGCGAAUCGGGUAGCCAUUGUGAUUAUUGUGACUUAAAUUCGGAAUAGGAUGUGUAAUUUAUUAUAUUAUAGCAUUAUUAUCAGAUUUUUUCCUGCAAAUUAAAUUAAAGUUGAAGAUCAGAAAGAUGUGGCAUUCAUGCAAAUAUCUUGCUUGAGUAUUUGAAAAAAACGCGCAUUUUUGAUAAAAUGAUGUUUACAAUCGUCAUUUAAACAAAUUUUAAUUAAACUAUCAGACUAUGAAAUGUUGUUAAUCUAUGUUAAUUAAACUAUUGCUUUUUAAGUUCAAAAUAUGAAUGACCUAAUGUAUGAAAUACAUUUACUGCACAAGAUUUUAAGUAUUAGUGUAAAGUAUUUUUUAAAUAGUUUUUCGAGAUUUUAAUAAUCAUUUUCACAUACUACUUUUUAAAUUGAUUUAUUUCGAAAGAAGCUUUGUCUGGUACAUGUUAUCACACUUACCUUCAAAGUUUCAAAUAUAGGUCAUCAACCACUUCACAGCUAAUAAUAAAUUAAAUAAUUGUGCGGCCUAAAUUAUAUUAUAUUUACAUGUAACCGUACCACAAUUAUAUGAUUAUUACUUCUGAUUCAACCGAUUUUAACUAACAUAUCGUAGAUUUCCACCACAUUUCCUUACUCAUAAUUGUUAUCUAAACAAGAUAAUAAUAAGAUGAUAAGAUUUAAGUGAUUAAACACAAUCUUAAAUGUUGAGUAAAUUUAAAGUAAAGCAAUAAUUACACGAGUUUUAGUGCUGAUUCAUACAGGUCGGUGUUUUUAAAUAUAUUCAUAUUUAAUGUUAUUCUAGUUACUGUUCAGAAUCGGUUGAAAUUUGUCUACAUGCUAGCACAUCUUUACAUUGAAUAAUAGUUUUUGCAUUAUAAUGUGAGUAGGUUUCUUAGGGAUGGAUAAGUACUAUUAUUAGGGCGCUUUUGCCGAAUUAUCACAAAUUUUAUGCAAUGAAUUAGAGAACUAAAAACUAUAUAAUAAAUUAGA